UUGGUAAGACAAAAGUAGCCCUGACUAACUCCCUCCUUUCCAAUAUUAUCAACACUGCGCUGAGGCUACCAAAGAAUCUGAGAGACAGGAUUUGGCUAUUUUCCCCCUUUCUCUACUGUAAAGCAAGAUCAAUGUGGAAUUACAAGGAUAGGAAACACCUAGGAAGGGGCUGGGAGCACAGCCCAAAGCUGAGGAUCCUGGGAGGAGGAGAGGUUUAGAGUGGAGAAUAAUCCCACGCUCUGAGGUCAUGGGGACCUAGCCCCUUCCUGCACUGGUUGAGAUCAGGCCUGAGGACUCUCUGGAUUCUUUCCCCAACAUCUUGGCUUCCCAAGGUGAGAGCACGUGGCCGUUAAGGUCCUGCCAUUAAGUUGAAUCAGUCUUCCCGCUGGCUCCCGAUAGGGUUAGGAGGGGGACCUCCCUUGUUUCCUAGAUACAAAGAGGCAAAUUAAAGGCUGCUGGAGAUGAGCCACAGGUCUUUCCGAGGUGACAGCAGGAAGCUAGAACUUAUUUCCGGCUUUGUGGUCCCAAAUGACCUUGAGGAAAUGUGAGCCCCAGUCCGGGCAAGGUCAGUGGAGAAGAGGUUCACUGCAGUUUGACCAGAUUAGCUAGUGGAACUAUUCCCAUUGAGCUCAUUGCUCUUCUCCAUCCUCCGGCUGGACAUGAUACAGGAGGGGAGAUGAAGAGGACCUGCCCAGCAGCCCCUUCUUCACUCAGAAAUCUGUUGGUGGCCUGUUUGAGUCCUGCUUUGCAGACUGUGACCUUGAACUCUGCUGUAGGGAGUGUCCCUCUCAUGCGAGUUGAUGGAAUUGCUGAUCUUGCUACCCAAGCUGAAGCAGGUUCUUGGAAACGGCUGGCCAGAAGCCUGAGACAAACUAUUUGCCCCAAGCUGGUCUAGAACUCUUCACUUCAAGCAAUCCUCCCACCUCAGCCUCCCACAGUGGUGGGAUUGCAGGUGGGAGUCACCAUGGCCCAGGAAAGGAUUACUGACAGAGAACCCACCCUACCUGGGGCCAGUGCAACCCAGGCUGUACACAUGCCAGCAAUCUGUUCAAUGUAACCCCUACCAGCUAUAAUCACAGGCUGAAGCACAGCUUUGGGAAACCCCAGUGGCAGGUCCCCUAUCUCCUUCCUGCCACUCGACACACCUCAGGAGGACUAAAAAAGGAAACACAUCAAUCAUCGCAGCUUGCCCGUGACUGUUGCAUGUCAAGUGGUUGGAACCAAUCAGCUCAUCUAAGACUUCCUCAGAAGCCAAUCAGAGCCUUGGAAAGUGACCUCACACAAGGGAGAGCUAUGUGGGCGAGACAGCACCUCUCAGAUCUCUGUAAUCAUCCUUUGUAAAAAAGGACAAGAUCAAGGUCAAGUGUGGCAAAGACAGGGCCUGUGUCCUUGUGAACAUGUGUGAACAGACACAAUCAUGUCCUCGAGGCCCGAGGACCAGAGGCUCAGAAGUCAGCUGGUCUGCAGGGGGCAGAGGCUGUUUCUACGACUUACUUUUCAUAGCCCUACAGAUGAGGUCUUGAAUAU